AGACUGUAACUGACGCUAAAGCUCGAAAGUGCGGGUAUCGAACAGGAUUAGAUACCCUGGUAGUCCGCACGGUAAACGAUGGAUGCCCGCUGUUUGCGAUAUAUUGUAAGCGGCCAAGCGAAAGCGUUAAGCAUCCCACCUGGGGAGUACGCCGGCAACGGUGAAACUCAAAGGAAUUGACGGGGGCCCGCACAAGCGGAGGAACAUGUGGUUUAAUUCGAUGAUACGCGAGGAACCUUACCCGGGCUUGAACUGCAGGGGAACGAUCCAGAGAUGGUGAGGUCAGCAAUGACCCCUGUGGAGGUGCUGCAUGGUUGUCGUCAGCUCGUGCCGUGAGGUGUCGGCUUAAGUGCCAUAACGAGCGCAACCCCUGCCGUCAGUUGCCAUCACGUAAUGGUGGGCACUCUGUCGGGACUGCCACCGUAAGGUGUGAGGAAGGUGGGGAUGACGUCAAAUCAGCACGGCCCUUACGUCCGGGGCUACACACGUGUUACAAUGGGUGGUACAGAGAGUAGGUCGCUGGCAAUGGCGAUCCAAUCCUUAAAGCCAUCCUCAGUUCGGAUUGGGGUCUGCAACCCGACCCCAUGAGGCUGGAUUCGC
rnacentral:rRNA from 1 species